GAAAUGCGAUAAGUAGUGUGAAUUGCAGAAUUCAGUGAAUCAUUGAAUCUUUGAACGCACAUUGCGCCCUUUGGUAUUCCUUAGGGCAUGCCUGUUCGAGCGUCAUUUGUAACCUCAAGCUCAGCUUGGUGUUGGGUGUCUGUCCCCGCCCCGCGCGGGGACUCGCCUCAAAAACAUUGGCGGCCGGUACGUUGGCUUCGAGCGCAGCAGAAACGCGAACUCGAGGCCCGACGGAUCGGCGACCAGAAGUCACUUCUUCCACAGCUUGACCUCGGAUCAGGUAGGGAUACCCGCUGAACUUAAGC
rnacentral:misc_RNA from 1 species